UACGAGUGGCCCAAGCGUUAUCCGGAAUUAUUGGGCGUAAAGGGUGUGUAGGUGGUCGUAUUAGUCCGGUGUCUAACCUCUGAGCUCAACUUGGAGACAGCAUUGGAAACGGUACGGCUAGAGUAUGUUAGGGGUAAGCGGAACUCAUAGUGUAGGGGUGAAAUCCGUUGAUAUUAUGGGGAACACCAAAAGCGAAGGCAGCUUACUGGAACAUUACUGACACUGAAACAUGAAAGCGUGGGUAGCGAAUGGG
rnacentral:rRNA from 1 species